CGUUGAUUGUGAAUGCAACAUUGAUUUCGAUUUUUCAUCCUAGUCUCUUUGCUUGGCUCCUUUCCCGGUGCACAAACUCCCAUCAAGGUCAGAUUCAUUUAUAGUAUCCAGGAUCAACUAUUUCUCCCGGGGUUGUAGAGAGGAACAAGAUACUUUGUGACUCCCUGCGUGCUUAAAUGGAGAUGAGGUUUUAUUCUGUGGCUGAGGGAGAGGAGACAGGUUUGGGCAGAGGCACUUGGUGGAGGGGGGAUGCAGGCAACAGCAGAAUGGCUCCGGGGACCAUUCUAGACAGAGAUGUUCCAGGCCGAAGCUGGUGGGUCAGAGGAGCUGCUUCGUGAGACCUGGGACCCAGGGGAGGCUGCUUUGGGGGCAGACAGUGCAAUCCCCCAAAGAAUUGGGGGAGGCCAUUCUUUUCACUUUUUACGCUGUGCUCAGCUGAGCAGCAGGGAGCACAGGGCAUGUGGUGCGGGAGUACGGGGGAGGGCGGUGGCCGUGGUGAUAAUACCAUCAUGCACUUCUUGGGCAGGACAAACAUUAGUGGGUUCACCAACAGUCCACGCGGACACCCCUGGAGUUCCAGCCACAGCAGGAGAGGCCGUGAGGCAGGGCAGAGGGACGGCUCUGGAAGCAUGGGUCCUGAUGUCCCAAUGCCCAGGAGCUAUUGUCUUUCACCUUUGUGUGAUGAGGCCUUGGAGACAAUUCCCUUCCAUGGAGGAUGUGAUUCUGUUUUUCAGGAAACUCAAGUCGUUGGAGAAGUAUAUCUGAUAAAGCCACAUUAUACCAUUAUGAGGUGCACCGCUGGUAUUCGAGGAUUGUUUGUUAGUCGAACGAGUGGCUUGGAAAACAGAGUGACUUUCUACGGAGAUGACCCCUGGAAGUGUUUCCUUCUGUCCCAGUAUAGCCACCAUGGUGCGACAGCUCUUUGCUAUUCUCAGAGGUGCAUCCUUUUAUCCUCCUACUGUAGAGCCACAUGCCCUGUGAAGAUCCUGACUAGUGAAUUUUGGAAAGAGAAUCUCUGA
rnacentral:lncRNA from 1 species